rnacentral:tRNA from 1 species
GGGGGCGUAGCUCAGUUGGUUAGAGCAGGCGACUCAUAAUCGCCCGGCCGUUGGUUCGAGUCCAACCGCCCCCA